UUACGUUACUCUAAUUCUUCCUCGAUCUUUGAGGAAUUUAUCCUUUAGUAUUUCUUAAAUACUUAAGGACUUACUUGACAGUUGCCAUGGUUCUGAUCCUGGGUUUGCACUGAUAUCGUCUUGUACCGUUCUAGGUACAACUCAUAUCAAUGUUUUUCAUACAAUAUGAAAUACAUAAAUCACUUUUUUGCGUAUGCAUAAAGGAUUCUAUUUACGCAUUAUUU
rnacentral:lncRNA from 1 species